AACGAACGCUGGCGGCAUGCCUAACACAUGCAAGUCGAACGAGACCUUCGGGUCUAGUGGCGCACGGGUGCGUAACGCGUGGGAACCUGCCCUUAGGUUCGGAAUAACUCCCCGAAAGGUGUGCUAAUACCGGUUAAUGUCUUCGGACCAAAGAUUUAUCGCCUUUGGAUGGGCCCGCGUUGGAUUAGCUAGUUGGUAGGGUAAAAGCCUACCAAGGCGACGAUCCAUAGCUGGUCUGAGAGGAUGAUCAGCCACACUGGGACUGAGACACGGCCCAGACUCGUACGGGAGGGAGCAGUGGGGAAUAUUGGAAAAUGGGGGAAAGCAUGAUAAAGCAAUGCCGGGUGGGUGAUGAAGGGAUUAGGGUUGUAAAGCUCUUUUACCCGGGAUGAUAAUGACAGUACCGGGAGAAUAAGCGCCGGCUAACUCCGUG
rnacentral:rRNA from 1 species